AAUUCCCUCACCUUAUCCAAACAGAACCUUAUACGCAGAAAAUUGGGAUAACCCAUGACACCUCCUUGGGUAAGAUCCACUUCAAUGAACUGCCCAAUACAGUUUCCAAUGAUUUGAGCAUUCAUGGGAUUUAAUUGAUUUGGUGGAAGGCCAUGUGCUUGAACCCAAAAUGGAGAGUGGGUAAACUGCAGUUCUUCAAAAGAUAAGUCAGGUGGCCAAUGUUGGAGUGAAAGAUGUUGAUUGUGUGCCGACCAUGGUCGGUUCUCCAUCAUGUACUUCACAUCAACUUCACGCUCAAAACUGAAGCAGAAUGUAUUUUUGUUUCUGGUGAAAACAUGGAAAUCCUUCCUCGUUCAUCAAGACUUGGACAGGGCUGAUUUCAUUGUGUAAGCACUGAAAACUCUUGUGGAGAUAAUCUCACCCACCACAACAUUGUGCUGCAUUGGUUAUGCAUCCUGGUUGGUUGUAAGUUGUAGUAUUGGGUCUUCACAAUUGAGCUGUUUAGCUUUAGUAAUCAAAUCAGUCAUGCUCUGUUCUUGUAAUGCCAUACCUGAUGAAACUAGAAGACGCCGAUUAACUUGGGACAAACAACAGGGCAACUAGUAUGCAGGAGGAAAGGAGAGAAAUAGGAUAGACAAGGUUAAUCAGAAAAGGAAAAAAAAAUGAGCAAAACAACACUUAAAAAAGAUUCCCCAAGGAACAACGUGAUAGACGCAAGAAAGAAGAAACCCAGAACUAUUAGGUAGGAGAUUCAUUUUCCACGCACAUGUAAUUCACUAUUGAUCUUGGAAUUAGAAUUUUGGAUAAGAAUCUGUUUCUCUUUA
rnacentral:misc_RNA from 1 species